rnacentral:rRNA from 1 species
CUAGGUCGGAUUAGCUAGUUGGUGGGGUAAAGGCCUACCAAGGCGACGAUCCGUAACUGGUCUGAGAGGAUGAUCAGUCACACUGGAACUGAGACACGGUCCAGACUCCUACGGGAGGCAGCAGUGGGGAAUAUUGGACAAUGGGCGAAAGCCUGAUCCAGCCAUGCCGCGUGUGUGAAGAAGGUCUUCGGAUUGUAAAGCACUUUAAGUUGGGAGGAAGGGCAGUAAGUUAAUACCUUGCUGUUUUGACGUUACCAACAGAAUAAGCACCGGCUAACUUCGUGCCAGCAGCCGCGGUAAURCGAAGGGUGCAAGCGUUAAUCGGAAUUACUGGGCGUAAAGCGCGCGUAGGUGGUUCAGCAAGUUGGAUGUGAAAUCCCCGGGCUCAACCUGGGAACUGCAUCCAAAACUACUGAGCUAGAGUACGGUAGAGGGUGGUGGAAUUUCCUGUGUAGCGGUGAAA